GUUUGGAUGCAAUGGCCGUUGCUUUCUGUUUUGAUUUCUGCCUUCUUUUUAGAAAAGUACCGUUGAUUUCUGUUUUUUUUAAUAGAAGUGCCGUUGAUUUCACUAACAUAUAUAGGCACCUUUGGAUCAUUUUCAUUUGUAUUUUUGGUUCCUCUUCCUCUGAUUCCUCUAAUUUUCAGUUUUCUCUUUUUUAUUUUUAUUUUCUUUGGCAUGGCCAUGCAUUUUCUUGUUUUCUGUGACUUCUUGUGUUCUGUGUUUUGUAUGGAUUUUAUGUUUGUAUUAUGUGUUUUAUUUGUAAACUGUAUUUUGUUUUAGGUUGAGGAGCAGGGGUAGGGUAACAUGACUUGACGAAUGCCAAGAAUCCGACCAGAGCUAUUUUGCCAGGAAUACUGUGUGACCUUUUCCAGAUAUAUGGGAUCAGAUGUUACAAAUAAUAGGCCAUCCCUCAAGUACGAUAUUUUUGGACAGUGAAGAUUGAAUGUGGUUCAUGAUAUAAAAAAUACACUUAGUCAAAUCCAGAAAUUACUCAGCGAUAUUUCCAUUGCCAUAUGAUAGUACCUAAUCUCUUAAUUAGUUGAACAAGAUGCAUUAUUUUAAACUCUCUGGUUUUGAGUCUAUACGGAACCUUAAAUCAUGGUUCUUGUAAUAAGUAGCACUGAUGGAUUUGCAAAAAUUAAUCCCUCUUAAAUGUAUCAAGAAUGGCAGCAAUCUAGAACCAAAAGUACUUUAGAUGAAAAAUGGUGGAGUAUAUGUGAGUAAUCACCAUAGUUACUUUUAAGUUGCCUUAAAAAAAUGUUUACAAACCUUGAACGAAUUGUAGGCAUAAAGUUCUUAAAAAUGUAGGGAAAAUAAAACGAUUUUUUUGUUUUUGGA